CCUACGGGUGGCUGCAGUGAGGAAUAUUGGUCAAUGGACGGAAGUCUGAACCAGCCAUGCCGCGUGCAGGAAGACGGCUCUAUGAGUUGUAAACUGCUUUUGUACAAGGGUAAACCUGAAUACGUGUAUUCUGCUGCAUGUACUGUACGAAUAAGGAUCGGCUAACUCCGUGCCAGCAGCCGCGGUAAUACGGAGGAUCCAAGCGUUAUCCGGAUUUAUUGGGUUUAAAGGGUGCGUAGGCGGAUUGAUAAGUUAGGUGUGAAAUGUAGGGGCUUAACUGUAGAACUGCAUCUAAUACUGUUAGUCUAGAGAGCAGAUGCGGUAGGCGGAAUGUGUGGUGUAGCGGUGAAAUGCUUAGAGAUCAUACAGAACACCGAUUGCGAAGGCAGCUUACCAAUCUAUAUCUGACGUUGAGGCACGAAAGCGUGGGGAGCAAACAGGAUUAGAUACCCCAGUAGUC
rnacentral:rRNA from 1 species